rnacentral:rRNA from 1 species
UACGUAGGGUGCAAGCGUUAAUCGGAAUUACGGGGCGUAAAGCGUGCGCAGGCGGUUCGCUAAGACAGAUGUGAAAUCCCCGGGCUUAACCUGGGAACUGCAUUUGUGACUGGCGGGCUAGAGUAUGGCAGAGGGGGGUAGAAUUCCACGUGUAGCAGUGAAAUGCGUAGAGAUGUGGAGGAACACCGAUGGCGAAGGCAGCCCCCUGGGUUAACACUGACGCUCAGGCACGAAAGCGUGGGGAGCAAACAGG